UACGAAGGGGGCGAGCGUUGUUCGGAAUUACUGGGCGUAAAGGGCGCGUAGGCGGCCGUGCAAGUUAGAUGUGAAAGUCCUGGGCUUAACCUGGGGACUGCAUUUGAUACUGCUUGGCUUGAAUUCGGGAGAGGAUAGCGGAAUUCCCAGUGUAGAGGUGAAAUUCGUAGAUAUUGGGAAGAACACCGGUGGCGAAGGCGGCUAUCUGGACCGACAUUGACGCUGAGGCGCGAAAGCGUGGGGAGCAAACAGG
rnacentral:rRNA from 1 species